UACAUGCAAGUCGGACGGUAACAUUGGUGCUUGCACCAGAUGACGAGUGGCGCACGGGUGCGUAACGCGUAUGCAACCUACCUUUUACUAGAGUAUAGCCCAGAGAAAUUUGGAUUAAUCCUCUAUAAUAUCUAUUAAUCUCAUGAUUUUUAGAUUAAAGUUUUAACGGUAAAAGAUGGGCAUGCGUCUUAUUAGUUUGUAGGUGAGGUAAUGGCUCACCUAGACUACGAUAGGUAGGGGCCCUGAGAGGGGGAUCCCCCACACUGGUACUGAGACACGGACCAGACUCCUACGGGAGGCAGCAGUAAGGAAUAUUGGACAAUGGACGAAAGUCUGAUCCAGCCAUGCCGCGUGCAGGAUGACAGCCCUAUGGGUUGUAAACUGCUUUUAUACAGGAAGAAACACUCCGACGUGUCGGAGCUUGACGGUACUGUAAGAAUAAGGAUCGGCUAACUCCGUGCCAGCAGCCGCGGUAAUACGGAGGAUCCAAGCGUUAUCCGGAAUUAUUGGGUUUAAAGGGUCCGCAGGCGGUCUUUUAAGUCAGAGGUGAAAGCCUACAGCUCAACUGUAGAAUGGCCUUUGAUACUGAAAGACUUGAGUUAUUGUGAAGUGGUUAGAAUGUGUGGUGUAGCGGUGAAAUGCAUAGAUAUCACACAGAAUACCGAUUGCGAAGGCAGAUCACUAACAAUAUACUGACGCUCAUGGACGAAAGCGUGGGGAGCGAACAGGAUUAGAUACCCUGGUAGUCCACGCCGUAAACGAUGGAUACUAGCUGUUCGUCUAACAUUGGUUAGAUGAGUGGCUAAGCGAAAGUGAUAAGUAUCCCACC
rnacentral:rRNA from 1 species